GUGCUCGCUUGGCAGCACAUAUACUAAAACUGGACCCACACAGAGAAGAUUCGCAUGGCCCCUGCGCAUGUAUGACACGCCAAUUCGAGAAGCGUUCCAUAUUAAA